rnacentral:rRNA from 1 species
UGCCAGACUCCUACGGGAGGCAGCAGUGGGGAAUAUUGCACAAUGGGGGAAACCCUGAUGCAGCGACGCCGCGUGAGUGAAGAAGUAUUUCGGUAUGUAAAGCUCUAUCAGCAGGAACGAGACAAGACGGUACCUGACUAAGAAGCCCCGGCUAACUACGUGCCAGCAGCCGCGGUAAUACGUAGGGGGCAAGCGUUAUCCGGAAUCACUGGGUGUAAAGGGAGCGUAGACGGCUGUGCAAGCCUGAAGUGAAAGGCGGGGGCCCAACCCCUGGACUGCUUUGGGAACUGUACGGCUGGAGUGCAGGAGAGGUAAGUGGAAUUCCUAGUGUAGCGGUGAAAUGCGUAGAUAUCGCGCAGAACUCCGAUUGCGAAGGCAGCAUGCCGGCUCCACACUGACGCUGAGGCACGAAAGCGUGGGUAUCGAACAGGAUUAGAUACCCGUGUAGA